rnacentral:rRNA from 1 species
UACAGAGGUCUCAAGCGUUGUUCGGAUUCAUUGGGCGUAAAGGGUGCGUAGGCGGCGAGGCAAGUCUGGUGUGAAAUCCCGGGGCUCAACCCCGGAACUGCACUGGAUACUGCUUUGCUAGAGUACUGGAGAGGGAACUGGAAUUUACGGUGUAGCAGUGAAAUGCGUAGAUAUCGUAAGGAAGACCAGCGGCGAAGGCGAGUUCCUGGACAGUUACUGACGCUGAGGCGCGAAAGCCAGGGGAGCAAACGGG